AACGGCCGCGGUAUACUGACCGUGCAAAGGUAGCAUAAUCAUUAGUCUUUUAAUAGAGGGCUGGAAUGAAAGGUUUAACGAGGAACUGACUGUCUCAUUUUAUUUGUUUUAAAAUUUAAUUUUUUAGUUAAAAAGCUAAAAUUUCAUUGGAAGACGAGAAGACCCUAUAGAUCUUUAUAGAAAAAUAAAUAAUUAUUAAUAUAUAAAUAUAAUUAUUUAUUUUUCUAUUUUGUUGGGGUGACAAAAAUAUAAAACUAACUUUUUUAUUUAUAUAACAUUGAUUUAUGAAUAUAGGAUCCAUUAUUAGUGAUUAUUAGAUUAAGUUACCUUAGGGAUAACAGCGUAAUCCUCCUCCAGAGUUCAUAUUUACAGGAUGGGCUUGCGACCUCGAUGUUGGAUUAAGAUAAUAAUCAGGUGUAGCCGCUUGAUUUAUAGGUCUGUUCGAC
rnacentral:rRNA from 1 species